UACGUAGGGGGCAAGCGUUAUCCGGAUUUACUGGGUGUAAAGGGAGCGUAGACGGCUGUGCAAGCCAGAUGUGAAAGCCCGGGGCUCAACCCCGGGACUGCAUUUGGAACUGUGUGGCUGGAGUGUCGGAGAGGCAGGCGGAAUUCCUAGUGUAGCGGUGAAAUGCGUAGAUAUUAGGAGGAACACCAGUGGCGAAGGCGGCCUGCUGGACGAUGACUGACGUUGAGGCCCGAAAGCGUGGGGAGCAAACAGG
rnacentral:rRNA from 1 species